UAAAAUAUUACUCGGACACAGUUCGAGGAAUUCGAGAAGAGGCACUGCGCGAAUAGGACAUGUUUUUGAAAGUAAUUGAAUUUUGUUAAUUAUUAAUCUCUGUGUUCUUGUUAAAUAUUCUAAUAUGAAUUUCAAUACAAUGUUAUCGAAAAUUUCUUUACAGCUCUUUCUUACGUUUUUGCUUAUUGGAUUAACUUAUGGCCUGCCCCAAUACAGCUACAACCAAGGCCGUUCCGUGCCAGGAACCGAAUUCAGCGGACUAGCUAACGGCCAAGGUAGCCAAGGCUCCGGGCCGGCCGUUUAUCAAGGAUUUGGGAAUGGACAAGACUUUAAUCACCGUAAGGGUUACCAAGAGAUGGGAUAUUAACGGUUUAUAGGGAGUUACUUUGCUAUUUGUCUAUCUCGACGAUAAUAGAAGGACCAAUCGUCAAUUUAAGUAAUCACGUUUUGUAAUUUUCACUAAAUAUAUGAAUCAUUAUCAAACAGUCUAUUAAUUUAUCCGAUUCGCAACAGAAAUAAGCCGGACACUAAGCAAGCCUGUGCUCACACUGGACCUAAACGCAUUUAAGAAAAUAAAGGACUAGUGAGAUAUUGCGGUACAUUUAUUUGAAUUUUUUCUACGUUUUAAUUAAAUUUUUACAUGGAUUUAAAAUUGCACAAUAUUGUAAAAAUAUUUCUAAUUCUUUCCAUUGGCGGGAUUUUCUGUGUUGUCUGUUUCGGGUGUUUUCGUGUCUGACAUCUUUUGCAUGUCGGGCACUUUUGGAGUGUCUGACAUUUUUGUAGCGUUGUGGUUGUGUUGCUGUUGCUUUGGCAUUUCACCGUGAGGCUUCAGGUUUGGAUUCAUGAUAUUAUAAUCCAUAUUUGGGAACAUGUUGUUGAAAUCCGUGGCAGGAGGAUUCAUGUUGUUCGUGUUCAAAUUAUGGGUUGGGUUUCCAUUAUGGUUUGGAUUCAUUCCACGACUCUGGUCUUUAGAGUUUUCGUCGGCCAAUGCUGCUGAUAGCACCAUUACCGUGUAGAUAAAGAUCUGUUAAGGUUAUAAUCGAUUAGAAUUAGGAAUACAUUGCAACGCAUAGUGAUAAUACUUUUUUUUUCAAAAAACGCUUAUCUUUAGAACGACGGACGUCCGAUGGUGACAGAUCUAGUCCAUCGGAAAGAAAUUGGUCGUCGACGAUUUGAACCGUUCUACAUUAAAUACAGUCAAGAGGAAAGAGCUGGUACUGGGUAGCUCCCGCCCAGAGGACCACCAUGGUGAA